AUUAAACGCUGGCGGCAUGCCUUACACAUGCAAGUCGAACGGCAGCACGGGGGCAACCCUGGUGGCGAGUGGCGAACGGGUGAGUAAAGCAUCGGAACGUGCCCUGGAGUGGGGGAUAACGUAGCGAAAGUUACGCUAAUACCGCAUAUUCUGUGAGCAGGAAAGCAGGGGAUCGCAAGACCUUGCGCUCUGGGAGCGGCCGAUGUCGGAUUAGCUAGUUGGUGGGGUAAAGGCCUACCAAGGCGACGAUCCGUAGCGGGUCUGAGAGGAUGAUCCGCCACACUGGGACUGAGACACGGCCCAGACUCCUACGGGAGGCAGCAGUGGGGAAUUUUGGACAAUGGGCGAAAGCCUGAUCCAGCCAUGCCGCGUGAGUGAAGAAGGCCUUCGGGUUGUAAGACUCUUCGGUGGGGAAGAAGUUAGCAUGGGUUAAGUACCCUGUGUAGAUGACGGUACCGGGCAUAAGAAGACACCGG
rnacentral:rRNA from 1 species